CUCACAAAAAAUAAAUCAUAAUUAACUAAUAUGUUAUUCAAAGACAACCGGUGUAGGGUCCAAUAUAAUAUACGAAAUAAAACAAAAAACAUAAAUAAUACGCCAAUAUACAACUUAUUGAGUCGACCACUGAUGAAGCCGGACUCAGGGAUCUUUUCCCCAAACACGGCAGAAACACCGGGCCUAACAUUCAUGCUCAUGGGUGAGCUCGGAUGGGCUAUUUAAAUACA
rnacentral:lncRNA from 1 species